AUUGAACGCUGGCGGCAGGCCUAACACAUGCAAGUCGAACGAGUGGCGGACGGGUGAGUAAUGUCUGGGAAACUGCCUGAUGGAGGGGGUUAACUACUGGAACCGGUAGCUAAUACCGCAUACCAUCAGAUGUGCCCAGCUGGGAUUAGCUAGUUGGUGGGGUAACGGCGUACCAAGGCGACGAUCCCUAGCUGGUCUGAGAGGAUGACCAGCCACACUGGAACGGAGGCACGGUCCAGACGCCUACGGGAGGCAGCAGUGGGGAAUAGUGCACAAUGGGCGCAAGCCUGAUGCAGCCAUGCCGCGUGUAUGAAGAAGGCCUUCGGGUUGUAAAGGACUUUCAGCGGGGAGGCGUUACCCGCAGAAGAAGCACCGGCUAACUCCGUGCCAGCCGCCGCGGUAAUUC
rnacentral:rRNA from 1 species